rnacentral:rRNA from 1 species
GCAUAUCAAUAAGCGGAGGAAAAGAAACCAACAGGGAUUGCCCUAGUAACGGCGAGUGAAGCGGCAACAGCUCAAAUUUGAAAUCUGGCCCUAGGCCCGAGUUGUAAUUUGCAGAGGAUGCUUCGGGCGCGGUGCCUUCCAAGUCCCCUGGAACGGGGCGCCGGAGAGGGUGAGAGCCCCGUACGGUUGGCGGCCAAGCCUGUGUGAAGCUCCUUCGACGAGUCGAGUAGUUUGGGAAUGCUGCUCUAAGCGGGAGGUAGACCCCUUCUAAAGCUAAAUAUAGGCCAGAGACCGAUAGCGCACAAGUAGAGUGAUCGAAAGAUGAAAAGCACUUUGAAAAGAGGGUUAAAUAGCACGUGAAAUUGUUGAAAGGGAAGCGCUUGUGACCAGACGUGCGCCGGGGUGUUCAGCGGGCGUUCUCGCCCGUGCACUCGCCUCGGCGCAGGCCAGCGUCGGUUCGAGUGGGAGGAUAAAGGCGUCUGGAAUGUGGCUCCUCCGGGAGUGUUAUAGCCAGACGUGCCAUGCUCCCGCCCGGACCGAGGUACGCGUUCUGCAAGGACGCUGGCGUAAUGGUCUCCAGCGACCCGUCUUGAAACACGGACCAAGGAGUCGAGGUUUUGCGCGAGUGUUUGGGUGUUAAACCCGCACGCGUAAUGAAAGUGAACGUAGGUGGGAGCUUCGGCGCACCACCGACCGAUCCUGAUGUUUUCGGAUGGAUUUGAGUAAGAGCGUAGGGCCUCGGACCCGAAAGAUGGUGAACUAUGCUUGGAUAGGGUGAAGCCAGAGGAAACUCUGGUGGAGGCUCGCAGCGGUUCUGACGUGCAAAUCGAUCGUCAAAUCUGAGCAUGGGGGCGAAAGACUAAUCGAACCAUCUAGUAGCUGGUUACCGCCGAA